rnacentral:rRNA from 1 species
GAUGAACGCUGGCGGCGCGCCUAAUACAUGCCAGUCGAGCGAACAGAUGAGGAGCUUGCUCCUCUGACGUUAGCGGCGGACGGGUGAGUAACACGUGGAUAACCUACCUAUAAGACUGGGAUAACUUCGGGAAACCGGAGCUAAUACCGGAUAAUAUAUUGAACCGCAUGGUUCAAUAGUGAAAGACGGUUUUGCUGUCACUUAUAGAUGGAUCCGCGCCGCAUUAGCUAGUUGGUAAGGUAACGGCUUACCAAGGCAACGAUGCGUAGCCGACCUGAGAGGGUGAUCGGCCACACUGGAACUGAGACACGGUCCAGACUCCUACGGGAGGCAGCAGUAGGGAAUCUUCCGCAAUGGGCGAAAGCCUGACGGAGCAACGCCGCGUGAGUGAUGAAGGUCUUCGGAUCGUAAAACUCUGUUAUUAGGGAAGAACAAAUGUGUAAGUAACUAUGCACGUCUUGACGGUACCUAAUCAGAAAGCCACGGCUAACUACGUG